rnacentral:rRNA from 1 species
AGAGUUUGAUCCUGGCUCAGAAUGAACGCUGGCGGCGUGCCUAACACAUGCAAGUCGAGCGAGAAAGUUCCCUUCGGGGAGCGAGUAAAGCGGCGGACGGGUGAGUAACGCGUGGGUAACGUGUCCUUUGGUGGGGAAUAACCCAGGGAAACCUGGACUAAUACCGCACAAGCUCCGAGAGGUUUCAGCUUCUCGGAGGAAAGAUUGCCUCUGAUUCAAGCAAUCGCCAGAGGAGCGGCCCGCGUCCCAUUAGCUAGUUGGUGGGGUAAUGGCCUACCAAGGCAACUAUGAGUAGCCGGCCUGAGAGGGCGAUCGGCCACACUGGGACUGAGACACGGCCCAGACUCCUACGGGAGGCUGCAGUGGGGAAUUUUGCGCAAUGAGCGAAAGCUUGACGCAGCGACGCCGCGUGCGGGAUGAAGGCCCUCGGGUCGUAAACCGCUGUCGCGAGGGACGAAAAACCAGGGGAUGAAUAAGCCUCUGGCCUGACGUACCUCGUGAGAAAGCCCCGCUAACU